rnacentral:tRNA from 1 species
GCCCGGGUAGUCCAGGGGUAAGAUUCAUCGUUCGGGUCGAUGAGACCCGCGUUCGAAUCGCGGCUCGGGCC